UCUCUCCUCCACCCCUUCUCUCUCCUUCGAUCUCUCUCUCCAUUCCUCCCUCAAUCUUUGUCUCUCUCUGUCUCAGUCCAGCAGCUCUGGCACUAAGGACUCUGUGUCUAAGGGACGGUUGGGUGAGUGAGCAUCCAAGCACAGGUGGAAUUAAGGUUAUAGGGUUAAACACACACACACACACACACACACACACACACACACACACACACACACACACACACACACACACACACACACACACACACACACACACACACACACACACACACACACACACACACACACACACACACUAUACUCCAGCUCAUGUGAUCAACGGCCAGGUGGUGUGUGUGUGUGUGUGUGUGUGUAUGCGUGCAUGUGUUUUUAUGUGUGUGUGUGUGACUGAGAGUCCAUCUGCCGCUCUGAUUCUCCAAUGUCGACACUCUUUGAUCUGUGGUGACACAGCAUAUGGCCUCCUGGUUCUACCCUUCCCUCUCUCUCUCUCUCUCCCUCUCCUUCCUUCUCUUCCUCUCCUCCUUCAAGCCAACAGUCUGUCCUGAUAUAAACCGUCUGUGAUAUGAAUAUGAGCUCCAGAGACAGCAUGAGUGUUCCAAAUGACACCCUAUUCCCUUCAAAGGGCACUACUUCUGACCAGGGUAUACAGGGGACUAGGGUGCUACUUGGGAAGCAGACAGACACACGGCUGAUAUUCCUCAAAGCUUUUGGGCCAUUACUCAAACUCUGUCAUCGGAGAGAUAUGAAAUCAUAUAUUUCAUUGAAGGAUAGGCACCCAUUACAUCUCCAGUCAUCCCAAACCAGAUAUGAUCUCUGAGUCCCAAACGGCCUGCUUUUCUCUAUACAGUGCAUUAUUUAUGACCAGGGCGAGUAGGGCUCUGGUCAAAAGUAGUACACGGCGUAGGGAAUAGGGUGCCAUUUGAGGUGAGGACAAUAUGCCUGAUGCACUAAUCUGCUGUUUAAACCACUAGUCCAUUAAAUGGUGGAAAAUACAUGAACAAUAUUAGGCUCAGGUCAAUGUUUGAAUAAGAUAAGGUAGCUAGGUAGGCCAUGUUUUUAUGUCUGCAUCCUAUCCUAUUCCCUACGGGCCCUGGUGAAAAGAAGUGCCCUAAAUAGGGAAUAGGGUGCCAUUUGGGCUGAAGGUUAUAGCCUAGCAGCGUAGUACACACGUACCGUUGAUGACGCAGGCUUAGACGUAGGGACCAUAGUAUGAUACUAUAGCCAUUUUCCAAUGCAUCAUAUGAAGCACACGUACUCACGCACGCACACACAAGCAAACACACUCUUGGACUCAUACCUUAGAUUUAACUGCAUGGUCGCACGCCUCUCUCUCCUCAGAGCCCAAAUAUUCUCUCUUUCUCUCUCCUGCUCUCUCCUCUGUUUACAUAAGACAACAGAGGAGUAAUCGGAUGGAUUUUCACCUUUGUACAAACAGCAACAAUGGCUGCCACCACAGAGACCACACCAUCACUAUGACAAGAACCAGGGACAGGAGAGAGGGAGAGGGAGGAAGGGGGGAUUGGGGGAGAGGGAGAGAGUGUAAGGGUGGGAAGGAGAGAGAGAGAGGGCGGGAAGGAGGGGGGAGGGAGAGAGAGGGGACAUUCCGCAUGAAGCUGAAACAAAAAAAGACUAUGACUUUUUGGAAAGAGAGGGAAGGAAGAAAGAAAUAAAGAACCAUUAUGACUGACCCCCUGUAGCCCAAACCUCUCCCCCUCCAUUCCUCCUUCCAUCCCCCCCUCCAUUCCUCCCUCAUUCUCUCCGUCAUCUGACUCCCACCUGACUAGAUGUGUAUCCCAAAUAGCACCCUCUGACCUAAACAGUGCACUACUGUUGACAUGGGCAGACUCCGGCAGAAUGCUAUCUCAGAAAACCCAGAGAUUUGAAUUUCUGGAUUUCUGAGGACAACCUUCAACAUGACGAUACAGGGUAUAAUAAAAUUCCUAUGAAGUAACAUAGUCCAGACCGACACCUUAUCUGGCAAUGACUCAUUCACACACAUGUACACGCUCGCACAGACACAAACACACACACACACACACACUUGAAACCAGAUGUGCAGAACCAGCCCCAGACAGGGAGCCUGAGGGCUGAGCGAACCCAAGUGUAUCACGACGGACGGGGACUAAACACACAACACCCCCACCUGGAAGUCCCAGAUCAAGUUGCAUAAAUCAUUCUAUGUAAUGAUUCAACAACGAACAGAGUGAAAAGAGAAUUAAUAUAUAGAGUCACACUUUCCUUCUGCACUAGUGGCUAAACACACUACACUAGACCAGUUAGAUAGAGGUGUUAUCAUCCCACACUACACUAGACCAGUUAGAUAGAGGUGGUGUUAUCAUCCCACACUACACUAGACCAGUUAGAUAGAGGUGUUAUCAUCCCACACUACACUAGACCAGUUAGAUAGAGGUGGUGUUAUCAUCCCACACUACACUAGACCAGUUAGAUAGAGGUGGUGUUAUCAUCCCCCACUAGACCAGUUUGGUAGAGGUGGUAUUAUCAUCCCACACUACACUAGACCAGUUAGAUAGAGGUGGUGUUAUCAUCCCAAACUCCACUAGACCAGUUAGGUAGAGGUGGUGUUAUCAUCCCCCACUAGACCAGUUAGAUAGAGGUGGUGCUAUCAUCCCACACUACACCAGACCAGUUCGAUAGAGGUGGUGUUAUCAUCCCACACUACACCAGACCAGUUCGGUAGAGGAGGUGUGUUAGUUUGGUCACAGCUGGGCUGUUAUGUCCAGGCUAUCUCUUUAUUCUUGAUUUAUUUAUAGUCAAGUUGACUGUAAACAAUUUCUAAUUUACAGAAACGACCUGGGGAAUAGUUACAGGGGAUAGGAGAGGGGAGAAAUGAGCCAAUUGGAAGCUGGGGAUGAUUAGGUGACCAUGACGGUACGAGGGCCAGAUUGGAACAGAGCCUGCAGUAAAAUGGCCAUUCUCAUUCUACUUCCCCUUGAUGACCUAAGAGAAUUUGGGAGAUAUGGAAAACCGACAGGAUCCAGAUUCAGGGUUAAAAUCAAUGUCGUUCUAUUCCCUGUACAGUAGAUAUUGUAUUAUCUUUGUUAAUUUAUUUGUUUGAAUCUGAGGUUGUAACCAAACACACAGUUUAUUUCACGGAAUGUAUGUCUGCGUUCCAAAUGGGGGGGUGGGGUCUCGCACAGCAGUCUAAGGCACUGCAUCUCAGUGCUAGAGGCAUCACUGCAGACCCUGGUGUGAUCCCGGGCUGUAUCACACCCGGACGUGAUCGGGAGUCCCAUAGGGUGGUGCAGCGUCGUCCUGGUUUUGGGAGGCCGGUGUAGGCCGUCAUUGUACAUAAGAAUUUGUUCUUAACUGACUUUCCUAGUUAAAUAAAGAUACAAAAUAAUAAUAAUCCUAUUCCAUACAGUUGAAGUCUGAAGUUUACAUACACCUUAGCCAAAUACAUUUCAACUCAGUUUUUCACAAUUCCUGACAUUUAAAUCCUAGUUAAAAUUCCCUGCCUUAGGUCAGUUAGGAUCACUACUUUUUUUUAAAAAUGUUAAAUGUCAGAAUAAUAGUAGAGAGAAUGAUUUAUUUCAGCUUUUAUUUCUUUCAUAACAUUCCCAGUGGUUCAGAAGUUUACAUACACUCAAUUAGUAUUUGGUAGCAUUGCCUUUAAAUUGUUUAACUUGGGUCAAACGUUUCGGGUAGCCUUCCACAAGCUUCCUACAAUAAGUUGGGUGAAUUCUUUUUGCAGCAACAACCUGGGGAAUAGUUACAGGGAAGGGAAAGGGGAUGAAUGAGCCAAUUGUAACCUGGGGAUUAUUAGGUGACCGUGAUGGUUUGAGGCCCAGAUUGGGAAUUUAGCCAGGACACCGUGGUUAACACCCCUACUCUUACAAUAAGUGCCAUGGGAUCUUUAAUGACCUGAGAGUCAGGACACCCAUUUAACGUCCCAUCUGAAAGACGGCACCCUACACAGGGCAAUGUCCCCAAUCACUGCCCUGGGGCAUUGGGAUAUUUUUUUAGACUAGAGGAAAGAGUGCCUCCUACUGGCCCAACACCACUUCCAGCAGCAUCUGGUCUCCCAUCCAGGAACUGACCAGGACCAACUCUGCUUAGCUUCAGAAACAAACCAGCAGUGGUAUGCAGGGUGGUAUGCUGCUGGCCCAUCUGGACAAGACCCAUUUGUGUCCAAGCUUUAACUUCCUGACUGAUGUUUUGAGAUGUUGCUUCAAUAUAGCCACAUCAUUUUCCUUCCUCAUGAUGCCAUCUGCCACCCCAGUGCUUCACGGUUGGGACGGUGUUCUCCAAACAUGACGAUGGUCAUUAUGGCCAAACAGUUCUAUUUUUGUUUCAUCAGACCAGAGGACAUUUCUCCAAAAAGUACAAUCUUUGUCCCCAUGUGCAGUUGCAAACCGUGGUCUGUCUUUUUUAUGGCGGUUUUGGAGCAGUGGCUUCUUUCUUGCUAAGCGGCCUUUCGGGUUAUGUCGAUAUAGGACUCGUUUUACUGUGGAUAUAGAUACCUGUACCUGUUUCCUCCAGCAUCUACACAAGGUCCUUUUGCUGUUGUUCUGGGAUUGGUUUGUACUUUUCGCACCAAAGUAUGUUCACCUCUAGGAGACAGAACGCGUCUCCUUCCUGAGCGGUAUGACGGAUGCGUGGUCCCAUGGUUUUUAUACUUGCGUACUAUUGUUUGUACAGAUGAACGUGGUACCUUCAGGCAUUUGGAAAUUGCUCCCAAGGAUGAACCAGACUUGUGGAGGUCUACAAUUAUUUUUUCUGAGGUCUUGGCUGAUUUCUUUAGAUUUUCCCAUGAUGUCAAGCAAAGAGGCACUGAGAUUGAAGAUAGGCCUUGAAAUACAUCCACAGGUACAACUCCAAUUGACUCAAAUGAUGUCAAAUUGCUUCUAAAGCCAUGACCUUAUUUUCUGGAAUGUUCCAAGCUGUUUAAAGGUACAGUCAACUUAGUGUAUGUAAACUUCUGACCCACUGGAAUUGUGAUGCAGUGAAUUCUAAGUGAAAUAAUCUGUCUGUAAACAGUCGUUGGAAAAAUGACUUGUGUCAUGUCCUAACUGACUUGCCUUAACUAUAGUUUGUUUACAUGAAAUUUGUGGAGUGGUUGAAAAACAAGUUUUAAUGACUCCAACCUAAGUGUAUGUAAACUUCCGACUUCAACUGUACAUAUAUAUAUAUAUAUAUAUAUAUAUAUAUAUAGUGCACUACCUUUGACCAGGUCCCAUAGUGCACUAUGUAGGGAAUAGGAUGCUAUUUGAGACACAUCCUAUUUCACUAAAAUCAAUCAUUCUUUAUCUCUGUCUCGGACUAGGAUAUGACAUCGUCAAAAUGCCUCAGUGUUUUGUUUACCACCACAAGGGUUCCGUCUAUUGCAGAGGCAGGGCAUCACCACGGUAACAUCAGAGAGAGCUAGGGCUGGGCUCUAGUCAGCCUAGUCAAGAGUCUGCAUGAUCAAGCAUCAUGAUCUGUCUAUGCAAUCGGGACUGUAGGGAGAGAUGGAGAGAUAAGAGGAUGCAGGGGAAAGAGAGAGAGAGAGAGAAGGAAGCAGGAGAGGGAGUAAGAGAGAGAAUGAAUGAGAUACAGAGAGACACACAGAAAGAGGAAGAAGAGAGAGAGAGAGGGAAAGAGAAGGAAGAGGGGAGGGAGAGUGAAAGAGAGGAGGGAGAGUGAAAGAGAGGGAGAAGGAAAGGAGAUGGAGAGAGAAGGAAGAGGGGAGGGAGAGUGAAAGAGAGGGAGAAGGAAAGGAGAUGGAGAGAGAAGGAAGAGGGAGAGUGAAAGAGAGGGAGAAGGACAGGAGAUGGAGAGAGAGAGCCAGAGAGAGAAAGAAGGGAGAUAAACGAGCCAGGGGAGUAAAGUACAUUUAGUUAAGUUACAUUCUCCUGAGGAUAGAAAAGGGAACAUACACACACACAGUGUUGCUGUAGAUUCCCUUCCCUUUAUCUCUAGUGACCUAACUUGAACGCAGCUCCCCCUCCUCCCUCAUCGCCCCCUUU
ensembl:lncRNA